rnacentral:misc_RNA from 1 species
GAUGAAGAACGCAGCGAAAUGCGAUACUUGGUGUGAAUUGCAGAAUCCCGUGAACCAUCGAGUCUUUGAACGCAAGUUGCGCCCGAAGCCACUAGGCCGAGGGCACGCCUGCCUGGGCGUCACACGCCGUUGCCCCCCCAUCUACUCCUUCGGGAUUGCGGGGGGGCGGAUGAUGGCCUCCCGUGCGCCUAGCCGCGCGGUUGGCAUAAAUACCAAGUCCUCGGCGAUGCACGCCACGACAAUCGGUGGUUGCGAAACCUCGGUUGCCCGUCGUGUGCGUUCGUCGCGCAUCGAGGGCUCGAAAAAAUGCUCGGCUCCGGCUGGGCUUUCAACGCGACCCCAGGUCAGGCGGGAUUACCCGCUGAAUUUAAGCAUAUCAAUAAGCGGAGGA